AUUGAACGCUGGCGGCAUGCCUUACACAUGCAAGUCGAACGGCAGCACGGGUGCUUGCACCUGGUGGCGAGUGGCGAACGGGUGAGUAAUACAUCGGAACGUACCUUAUCGUGGGGGAUAACGCAGCGAAAGCUGUGCUAAUACCGCAUACGCCCUGAGGGGGAAAGCGGGGGAUCGCAAGACCUCGCGCGAUUAGAGCGGCCGAUGCCUGAUUAGCUUGUUGGUGGGGUAAAAGCCCACCAAGGCGACGAUCAGUAGCUGGUCUGAGAGGACGAUCAGCCACUCUGGGACUGGGACACGGCCCAGACUCCUACGGGAGGCAGCAGUGGGGAAUUUUGGACAAUGGGGGCAACCCUGAUCCAGCAAUGCCGCGUGAGUGAAGAAGGCCUUCGGGUUGUAAAGCUCUUUUGUCAGGGAAGAAACACCGGCUCUAACACAGUCCGGGAAUGACGGUACCUGAAGAAUAAGCACCGGCUAACUACGUGCCAGCCGCCGCGGUAA
rnacentral:rRNA from 1 species